UCUUUAAUUUUUCUAUAAAAUCAGAAAUAAUUAUUCUUCCUUAAAUAACCAAAUCAACAAUCCCCUUCAUAACAAUCUUAUGAAAUAUUUCAAAAACUUAGUACUCUCUUAGAUUGCUGCUACCAUUCAGAUAUGCCUAUACAUAUAAAUAAAAUUUACUUAGUUUAAUCAUUCCUAAUAUCAAAAAAUAAGGCAUUUUUACACCCCAAAAAGGUAAAAUCAUUACAUAUGCAUUUGUUCUACAAUUACAGGCCUGCAUCAGAUUAAUAGUAGCAAAAUAUACACACAUCAUUGAUGAUAGCUUCUUCAUCAAGCUUGUAUUUGACUCCCCAACAACUGUGAUUUGUAACGACAUAUGUUUUUCUCUUCCCCAUUCCUUAUUGAACAACCAAAAGAUUAAAAAAUAAAAGAACCUU
rnacentral:lncRNA from 1 species